rnacentral:rRNA from 1 species
CCUACGGGUGGCAGCAGUGGGGAAUAUUGCACAAUGGGGGGAACCCUGAUGCAGCGACGCCGCGUGGGUGAGGAAGUACCUCGGUAUGUAAAGCCCUAUUAGCAGGGAAGAAAAUGACGGUACCUGACUAAGAAGCCCCGGCUAACGACGUGCCAGCAGCCGUGGUAACACGUAGGGGGCAGGGGUUAUCCGGAUUUACCGGGUGUAAAGGGAGCGUAGACGGCGUGCCAAGUCCGGUGGGAAAGGCCGGGGGUCAACCCCGGGUCUGCAGUGGAAACUGGCAUGCUGGAGUGCGGGAGGGGCAAGCGGAAUGCGUGGUGUAGCGGUGAAAUGCGUAGAUAUUAGGAAGAACACCGGUGGCGAAGGCAGCGUGCUGGACGGUAACUGACGUUGAGGCUCGAAGGCGUGGGGAGCGAACAGGAUUAGAUACCCCAGUAGUC